CUGGCUCAGGAUGAACGCUGGCGGCGUGCCUAACACAUGCAAGUCGAACGGGGUUACUGGCAGCGGAGAUUCGGUCAAAGCAGCCUUUAACCUAGUGGCGGACGGGUGAGUAACGCGUGGGGAACCUGCCCUGUACUGGGGGAUAACAGUGAGAAAUCACUGCUAAUACCGCAUAAGCGCACAGCAUCGCAUGAUGCAGUGUGAAAAACUGAGGUGGUACAGGAUGGCUCCGCGUUGGAUUAGCCAGUUGCGGGGUAACGGCCCACCAAAGCGACGAUCCAUAGCCGGCCUGAGAGGGUGAACGGCCACAUUGGGACUGAGACACGGCCCAGACUCCUACGGGAGGCAGCAGUGGGGAAUAUUGCACAAUGGGGGAAACCCUGAUGCAAGCGACGCCGCGUGAAGGAAGAAGUAUCUCGGUAUGUAAACUUCUAUCAGCAGGGAAGAUGAUGACGGUACCUGACUAAGAAGCCCCGGCUAACUACGUGCCAGCCGCCGC
rnacentral:rRNA from 1 species